rnacentral:snRNA from 1 species
GUGCUCACUUUGGGAAAAUAAACCCUGAAAUUGGAACCAUACAGAGAAGAUUAGCAUGGCCCCUGAGCAAGAAAGACAUGCAAAUUCAUGAAGCAUUCCUUUUUUUU